GUAGGUGAACCUGCGGAAGGAUCAUUAUUGAAUAAACUUGAUGGGUUGUUGCUGGCUCCUAGGAGCAUGUGCACACUUGUCACCUUUAUCCAUCCAUCUGUGCACCUUUUGUAGUCUUGGAGGUGUCUAACAAGUGUGCGUUCUGGGUCCAUUCAUGGUCUCCAGGAAUGGAGUCUGCUAUGUUGAGUGUGGCUGACUCUGGUGUCUCAUGCAUGCGUGUGUACCCUCUGAGUCUAUGUUUUUCUUAUACACCACAAUUGUAUGUUUCAGAAUGUAUUAUCACAGGCCUCUGUGCCUAUAAAACACUAUACAACUUUCAGCAACGGAUCUCUUGGCUCUC
rnacentral:misc_RNA from 1 species